AGGUGUGAAGGAGCUUGAGGUAAAAUGGAGUUACAUCUACGGCUGUCAACAGGCUGGGUUGAGGUUUCCAACACCAGUUUCUGUGCUUGUAAGUGUUGUGGUAUUUGCUCUUGCUCAUCUCACUCCUAGAGAGUUUCCCCAACUUUUCAUGCUAGGGUUGCUUUGGGGUUUUCAUAUGCCCAAACUCACAAUCUUCUAACACCAAUCACCAUAUGUGCACUGUGGAAUUCUGGAGUGAUCUUGCUUCUCACCUCUCUUCAGGUAUGCAAAUAUCCUUUUAUAGGUCCAAGGACUGCUGUUUGGAUAUUGGUGUUGAGCACAACUCGCUAGCCAAUAUGCAAAUAACCUCUCUUCCACUUCUUACUCUUAAGUCCUAACCCAUGAUGCAUGACUAGAUUCACUUAAAUGCAUAUUCGGUGUUGAGAUAACAGUUUAUUAAAUUGAAUCCCUUCUUGAUCAGGUUAAACCUUU